rnacentral:lncRNA from 1 species
UUUGAUUUGAUCCAACACGAGCCUUGUGUUGGACCUUGGGUUUAAGGUAGAUAGUUGUUGAUUUUAGUUAUGCGUUUAAUCUAAUUAAACCGUUAUUUCCUAUUGGGCGUUGGACCCAACUAUUCCAAUUUGCAUACAUAUAAACAAAAAGGAAUACUUGAAAUAAAGAGAAGGGCUUAUGCCCUUUUACAACACAUUUGAUGGACUUAUGUCUAUUUACAACAAAUUUGAACUAAUCAAAUUACAUUCAAAUCUAAACUACUUAACCCAAACAUUCAUAAUGUAAAGCGGCCAAUCACAUAGCUCAAUUAUCGAGGCCUUUGGUUCAUAAUCACCCUUUUCUUAAUCAAUCACAUUAACUAAGCAACUUAAACAAUUGGUUUUCGGAUUCAUAGAAUUGAUUUAAAUGGAACUUAUUGAAAUGAAAAUCCAAUUCUCAUUAAAGAGACAAAACCAUUUUGUUCUCAUCUUAUUUGGGCCAAAAACAAUGACCUCAACAAUUGGGCCAUUAUUCAAUAAACAUAAACUUUUGGGGUCACUUUGUAAAAACACAAAAGUCCACAACUUCAUGUAAUUACAAUUAGAACCCAAAAUUUUUAACAAUAACAAAAACAUCAAUAAAGGAACAAAACAAUUUGUCCUUUAGAGUUUUUGGGCCUUAACGUAAAAACGUAAACUUUUGGGCCAAAAUACAAAAACACAAAAGUAUCAAAACUUUAUGUAAUUGUAUAAAAGGCCCAAAAAUAUCCCCACUAGGGGUGGCCAGUUUUUAGAGGUGAAAAGGAGUGUGAAAGGGUUUUAUGCAAGUGGUGCAUGCAAGUGGAAAGGUGGGUGAGGAUAAAGGUGAAUGGGAUGGGUUGUAAGAAAAUGUUUUGUGAAACAUUAAUAGCAUUUAUCAUCCCUCACCAAUAAUCCAUCACCCAUAAAAAAUAAACCAAAACUUUAUGAAAAACACCAAACAAUUUGAAUCAAAAUUCCAAACCUUUUUGUUCUUGGUAAGAAUAUCAAGAACAUUGAAGAACACACAUGAAAACUCAUAAGAGCUCCAUGAAUGUUUUCACUCAUUAAAACUCAAAUUUUCAUAACACAAAAGAGGGUUAAUAUCCUAGGGUACUUAGGAGUUCCAAAAGUCACUUUAAAACCAUUUUAACAAGACAAACAUGAACCCAAAAAUCCACCCUUUGGAUUUGGCCGAAUUUCCCAACAUACAUGGCACCAAAUUUUAGUUCCAAUAUUCAUGCUUUAAUGAACUACAUCUACAACAUUUGAGAUGCUAAAUUUUCAAGCAAAAUUUAUAUUCAAAAGCAAGAACAAAGCUUGUAACAUUUACAACAUUUAAAUCACAAAUCAUGAAAAUCACAAAAUCCAAAAGGAUUCACCAUAAACUAGACCUAGGCACUGAUACCACUUGAAGGAAAAUUUUUGUCCUAGCUAAGAACAUGUGAGAAUAUUUGAACACAUAUGCAAACUAUUAACACAUUAAAGUAGGCAUGCAUUCAAAAACAAUUCUAAAACCCAUGACUUUCAAAGCCUAGUGAAUGGUGAACCAUGAGACUCUUUAACUACCUUAAAGAGAAGGAAGGAUUUAGAGAUUCAUUACCCUUGAAGCUCAUCCUUGUUUACACAAGGGAUUCACCCAAGUGGAGGGCCUUCAAGUCACCUCCUAGCUCCUUGGAUCUUCCUUGUGAUUUUCUUCCUUUUUGAUGCUCCUUUGCUCCUUAAGGAUGUGAGGAAAGGAUCUCCAAAACACUAAAGGUUUGGUGUCUCUAAGUCUCCACACCAAGGAUGAGGUGUGAAGAUGAAAUGGAUGACUUAGAGAAGAAAAGAUUGCUAGCUAAACCUUCCCUAUGUGGCCGGCCUCUUUGUAGAGAAAAAGAGAGAAAGUGUUUCACCUCUUUUCCUCAAGAAAACCCUAAUGAGAAAAUAGCUAUAAAGUUAACUUUAUACUACAUCACAUUUGAGUGGCAAACUUGUAAUUAAUUCAAGUUUGCAUCCACUCUCCCUUAUGGCCGGCCUUGUCUUUGUUAUUGGGCUAAUUGCCCAUUUUGUUUUAGUUGUCAUACAACUUAAACAUAAUGGGCUUUGUGGACCAAAACACUUUUGUGCCCCGAAACCCAAAACCAACUUAAAAGCCCAA